AUGAGGCUGACUGCAGCCUGCACCUCCUCUAAAAGCAGCAGUGAGUCUGAGCAGCAGCAAGAGAGGAUGCAUUUUACCACAGAGCUGUUAACCAGUUUAAAGACCUGUAGCUUUUUUAAACAGUAGUUUGUGUUUGUUAUGCUUACUCAUGUAAAAUUUUAGCAGUGGCAUUAUCAGCUGCAGCACUGUGCCACUUUUGAAAGCAUAUAGAGUAAACACUAAAAGAUCACACAGGACAAAUUAUUCUUCAAAAGUCUUGUGCUGUUCCCAAGUGUUGAUUCUGUUAUGUUAUAUGUUAUAUAUAAGUUUCUCCUUGUCUCAUCUCCUUGCCUCCUUUCCUCUUCCACUCUUUCAUCUAGAUAGGAGAUUUGAACCACCAAAAGUCUCGGCAGCUCAAGGUGGAUUUACCCCCAGAGGAGACGACCACUACCACCAUUAACAUAAACCAGCUGAUAGACAUGGACCUGCUCAUUUCGAAGAAUAAGAAGCGUGAGGGCCAAACCCUCCCUGAAAAGUCAAAAGAUCAGGAGGAUGGAGAGGAGACAGACGAGCCAGAGGAGGAAAUGGACCAGUGCCCUUCAGACCCAGAUGUUCCUCCACUGAAGAGAACUGAGAGUGUCUUUGUCUAAGACCAGUGAAAAUGACUAGACCCGUUCACAGGACACCUACAGAGGAGGACCAGGAGUCUGAUGCUUCAUCACAGCUAACCAGAGGUAGAUCAAGGAACUGGACAGAGGAGGACCAUGACUCUGAUACCUCAUCACAGCCAUUGAAUCACUGUUUUCAAGAUGAGUCAAGACCUGUGAAGAAGAUGAAACCCACCAAGAGGACACCUAGAGAGGAGGACCCUGAGUCUGGUACCUCAUCACAGCCAAGAAAAGACGAGUCAAGACGUGUGAAGAAGAUGAAACCCACCAAGAGGACAUCUAGAGAGGAGGACCCUGAGUCUGAUACCUCAUCAC